CAGUCGCCGCGGUAAUACGAGGGGGGCAAGCGUUGUUCGGAUUUAUUGGGCGUAAAGGGUGCGUAGGCGGUUUGGCAAGUCUUGAGUGGAAUCUUCGGGCUCAACCCGAAGCCUGCACGAGAAACUACCGGGCUUGAGUAUUGGAGAGGUGAGUGGAAUUUCCGGUGUGGCGGUGAAAUGCGUAGAUAUCAAGAGGAACACCGGUGGCGAAGGCGGCUUCCUGGAAGAUUCCUGACUCUGAAACACGAAAGCCAGGGGAGCGAAUGGGAUUAGAUACCCCAGUAGUCCCUGUCUCUUAUAC
rnacentral:rRNA from 1 species